rnacentral:rRNA from 1 species
GACGAGGGGUCCUAGCGUUGUUCGGAAUCAUUGGGCGUAAAGCGUGUGUAGGCGGCCUAGCAAGUCAGUUGUGAAAGCCCCGGGCUCAACCCGGGAAGUGCUUCUGAUACUGCUUGGCUUGAGUACUGGAGAGGAUAGUGGAAUUCCAGGUGUAGUGGUGAAAUACGUAGAUAUCUGGAGGAACACCGGUGGCGAAGGCGGCAUCCUGGACCAACACUGACGCUGAGGAGCGAAAGCCAGGGGAGCAAACGGG